ensembl:lncRNA
AACAUAAACAGUAAAUGGAACUUCUUUAGCAGUGAGAUUGGACUGGGUGAUCUCCAGAGGUGCCUUCCAACCGCUGCGAUUCCAUGAUUCAGUGAUUACGAUUCUUUUCUCACCACUUAAACCAAAGAAACUGAAAAAGAAGAGUAAAAGACUGUUCAGUUCAACCAGAUUUUUAAUUAAAAAAGUCCUACAUAUAGAGAUGAGCAUUUUCGGCGUCUGUAAUACUGCUGAUCUGUUCUGUCUAAACCUAAGCUGUAUCUUUGAGAAGAGUCUUUGGCCAUUUGGUCCCUUUCAAAGGAAGACUUGAAGGUAUAAUAACACUGUAAUGCAUGUCUGAAUUUGUCCUGUGGCCUAUUCCUAAAAAUAAGAUUUUGAAUUAACUUCAAGCUUUCCUCCUCAAAUGGUGUGCUGCAUCAACUUUUGUUCAAAGGGUUUGUAUUUGACUGGAGCCUGUUGGAAUAAAGAGAAGGCACAGGGGCUCAUAAUCGUGUAUGCUCAUUGCCCAGGAAAGAUUCUUGGGUGACAACAGGUUCCUCAGCAGGAAAGGUAUAAAGAUAGUUUGCUCUGCACUGGCUAAGUGUUGAACCAACA